UACGGAGGGUGCAAGCGUUGUUCGGAAUCAUUGGGCGUAAAGCGCACGUAGGCGGCUUAGCAAGUCGGAAGUGAAAGCCCUCGGCUCAACCAAGGAAGUGCUUUCGAAACUGCUGAGCUUGAGUACUUAAGAGGAUCGCGGAAUUCCCGGUGUAGAGGUGAAAUUCGUAGAUAUCGGGAGGAACACCAGUGGCGAAGGCGGCGAUCUGGGAAGAUACUGACGCUGAGGUGCGAAAGCGUGGGGAGCAAACAGG
rnacentral:rRNA from 1 species